rnacentral:rRNA from 1 species
AUACGGAGGAUGCGAGCGUUAUCCGGAUUUAUUGGGUUUAAAGGGAGCGUAGGUGGGAUAUUAAGUCAGCUGUGAAAGUUUGGGGCUCAACCUUAAAAUUGCAGUUGAUACUGGUUUCCUUGAGUACGGUACAGGUGGGCGGAAUUCGUGGUGUAGCGGUGAAGUGCUUAGAUAUCACGAAGAACUCCGAUCGCGAAGGCAGCUCACCGGGCCGGAACUGACACUGAUGCUCGAAAGUGCGGGUAUCAAACAGGAUUAGAUACCCUGGUAGUCCGCACAGUAAACGAUGAAUACUCGCUGUUUGCGAUACACUGUAAGCGGCCAAGCGAAAGCGUUAAGUAUUCCACCUGGGGAGUACGCCGGCAACGGUGAAACUCAAAUGAAUUGGCGGGG